rnacentral:rRNA from 1 species
GACAGAGGGGGCAAGCGUUGCUCGGAAUUACUGGGCGUAAAGGGCGCGUAGGCGGGCUGGCAAGUCGGUCGUGAAAGACCUCGGCUCAACUGAGGAGUGUCGAUCGAUACUGCCGUUCUUGAGGAUUGCAGAGGAGACUGGAAUUCCCGGUGUAGCGGUGAAAUGUGUAGAGAUCGGGAGGAACACCGGUGGCGAAGGCGGGUCUCUGGGCAAUUCCUGACGCUGAGGCGCGAAAGCGUGGGGAGCAAACGGG